rnacentral:rRNA from 1 species
UACGGGGGGGGCAAGCGUUGUUCGGAAUUACUGGGCGUAAAGGGCUCGUAGGCGGCCAACUAAGUCAGACGUGAAAUCCCUCGGCUUAACCGGGGAACUGCAUCUGAUACUGGAUGGCUUGAGUUCGGGAGAGGGAGUGCGGAAUUCCAGGUGUAGCGGUGAAAUGCGUAGAUAUCUGGAGGAACACCGGUGGCGAAGGCGACAUCCUGGACCGGUAUUGACGCUGAGGCGCGAAAGCCAGGGGAGCAAAGCGGG